GUUAGGGUGAUUUCCAGGAAGUGACCUCACAGUGACUCAAGCUACCACUUACUGUUGAUUGUGAUGAAAUGCCAGCUGAGGCACAUGCCUUGGGGGCUAAGUGGUUGCUGCCCUUGACUACUAUGAAGACUGGUGUGGGAAGGGUCGCUUUCGAUGCACUUGAGCGGGGGUCCCCAACCCCUGAGCCAUGGAGCCGUAAGGAGCCACACAGCAGGUGAGUGGUGUCGAGUGAGGGAGUGAGGGAAGCUUCGUCUGUAUUUACAGCCACUCCCCUUUGCUCACAUUCCCGCCUGAGCUCCACCUUCUCAGAUGAGCAGCAGCAUUAGAUUCUCAUAGGAGAACGCACCCUGUUGUGAACCGUGCAUGUGAGGGAUCUAGGUUGCGCUGUUCUUAUGAGAAUCUAAUACCUAUUGAUCUGUCACUUUCUCCCAUCACGCUCAGGUGGGACCAUCCAGUUUCAGGAAAACAAGCUUAACACGCCCACUGAUUCUACAUUAUGCUCCUACCUCCCGGCAGCCUCGCCAGGCCCAGAACUCUCUCCAGUCAGCCUCUACAGACCAAGCUCAUGACUCACAAUGGCCUAUUUAGGCCCAUACCCUACCUCACGGCAGUCUCCGCAGAUGAGCCUACUGCCUCACAACAGCCUCCACAGGCACAGCUCCAUCGUUACAAUGGCCUCUUUAGACCCAGCUCCUGCCUCCCAGCCUUCUCUCCAGGCCCUGAACUUUCUCCGUGGGACCAUCCAGUUUCAGGAAAACAAGCUUAACACGCCCACUGAUUCUACAUUAUGCUCCUACCUCCCGGCAGCCUCGCCAGGCCCAGAACUCUCUCCAGUCAGCCUCUACAGACCAAGCUCAUGACUCACAAUGGCCUAUUUAGGCCCAUACCCUACCUCACGGCAGUCUCCGCAGAUGAGCCUACUGCCUCACAACAGCCUCCACAGGCACAGCUCCAUCGUUACAAUGGCCUCUUUAGACCCAGCUCCUGCCUCCCAGCCUUCUCUCCAGGCCCUGAACUUUCUCCGUGGGACCAUCCAGUUUCAGGAAAACAAGCUUAACACGCCCACUGAUUCUACAUUAUGCUCCUACCUCCCGGCAGCCUCGCCAGGCCCAGAACUCUCUCCAGUCAGCCUCUACAGACCAAGCUCAUGACUCACAAUGGCCUAUUUAGGCCCAUACCCUACCUCACGGCAGUCUCCGCAGAUGAGCCUACUGCCUCACAACAGCCUCCACAGGCACAGCUCCAUCGUUACAAUGGCCUCUUUAGACCCAGCUCCUGCCUCCCAGCCUUCUCUCCAGGCCCUGAACUUUCUCCGUGGGACCAUCCAGUUUCAGGAAAACAAGCUUAACACGCCCACUGAUUCUACAUUAUGCUCCUACCUCCCGGCAGCCUCGCCAGGCCCAGAACUCUCUCCAGUCAGCCUCUACAGACCAAGCUCAUGACUCACAAUGGCCUAUUUAGGCCCAUACCCUACCUCACGGCAGUCUCCGCAGAUGAGCCUACUGCCUCACAACAGCCUCCACAGGCACAGCUCCAUCGUUACAAUGGCCUCUUUAGACCCAGCUCCUGCCGCCCAGCCUUCUCUCCAGGCCCUGAACUUUCUCCGUGGGACCAUCCAGUUUCAGGAAAACAAGCUUAACACGCCCACUGAUUCUACAUUAUGCUCCUACCUCCCGGCAGCCUCGCCAGGCCCAGAACUCUCUCCAGUCAGCCUCUACAGACCAAGCUCAUGACUCACAAUGGCCUAUUGAGGCCCAUACCCUACCUCACGGCAGUCUCCGCAGAUGAGCCUACUGCCUCACAACAGCCUCCACAGGCACAGCUCCAUCGUUACAAUGGCCUCUUUAGACCCAGCUCCUGCCUCCCAGCCUUCUCUCCAGGCCCUGAACUUUCUCCGUGGGACCAUCCAGUUUCAGGAAAACAAGCUUAACACGCCCACUGAUUCUACAUUAUGCUCCUACCUCCCGGCAGCCUCGCCAGGCCCAGAACUCUCUCCAGUCAGCCUCUACAGACCAAGCUCAUGACUCACAAUGGCCUAUUUAGGCCCAUACCCUACCUCACGGCAGUCUCCGCAGAUGAGCCUACUGCCUCACAACAGCCUCCACAGGCACAGCUCCAUCGUUACAAUGGCCUCUUUAGACCCAGCUCCUGCCUCCCAGCCUUCUCUCCAGGCCCUGAACUUUCUCCACAUGGGGUCUCACUUUGUUGGCCAGGCUGGUGUCAAACUAAUGGCCUCAAGUGACCCUUCCACCCCUGCCUCCCAUCCUCGAGGUAUGUGCCACCACAAGGGGCACUUGUUCAAUUUUCUAAAGAAAAAAUUUCUAAAGUAAGGCUGUGGGAUGAUGGCAGGAAGAUAAAAGAAAAACAGAAGAAUAAGUUAAAAUGACUUAUUCACACAUAUUCUUUUGACAGCAAGAAGAACUUUUAGUAUAUACAUUCCUUACAAACAAACAAACGGCAGAUAAACAA